UCCCAUAUCCUCUUGGCCCUGCCAGACUCACCAUUGGCUGACAUUUUACCCUUUGGCACGUGGUGCCUCUUGCCCCACCCCCAGUGAACUGUGUGUGUGUGUGUGUGUGUGUGUGUGUGUGUGUGUGUGUGUUUAGAUGGACCCUCACUCUGUCGCCCAGGCGGAGGUUGCAGUGAGCUGAGAUCGCGCCACUACACUCCAGCCUGGGCAACACAGCGAGACAAUUUUUC
rnacentral:lncRNA from 1 species